CUGGUGGGUAGUUUGACUGGGGCGGUCUCCUCCUAAAGAGUAACGGAGGAGCACGAAGGUUGGCUAAUCCUGGUCGGACAUCAGGAGGUUAGUGCAAUGGCAUAAGCCAGCUUGACUGCGAGCGUGACGGCGCGAGCAGGUGCGAAAGCAGGUCAUAGUGAUCCGGUGGUUCUGAAUGGAAGGGCCAUCGCUCAACGGAUAAAAGGUACUCCGGGGAUAACAGGCUGAUACCGCCCAAGAGUUCAUAUCGACGGCGGUGUUUGGCACCUCGAUGUCGGCUCAUCACAUCCUGGGGCUGAAGUAGGUCCCAAGGGUAUGGCUGUUCGCCAUUUAAAGUGGUACGCGAGCUGGGUUUAGAACGUCGUGAGACAGUUCGGUCCCUAUCUGCCGUGGGCGCUGGAGAACUGAGGGGGGCUGCUCCUAGUACGAGAGGACCGGAGUGGACGCAUCACUGGUGUUCGGGUUGUCAUGCCAAUGGCACUGCCCGGUAGCUAAAUGCGGAAGAGAUAAGUGCUGAAAGCAUCUAAGCACGAAACUUGCCCCGAGAUGAGUUCUCCCUGACCCUUUAAGGGUCCUGAAGGAACGUUGAAGACGACGACGUUGAUAGGCCGGGUGUGUAAGCGCAGCGAUGCGUUGAGCUAACCGGUACUAAUGAACCGUGAGGCUUAACCUUACAACGCCGAAG
rnacentral:rRNA from 1 species